rnacentral:misc_RNA from 1 species
AACAAGAAAAAAUUUUCCAUAAAUCAGUUUUCUGUGAUAUACAAGCAAGUACAAGGUAGAAAGACAGCCUUUCUCUGUGUCCAUCUGAAGUUGUUAUUUUUCUUAGUCACUGUGCAGUCCCAUUUUGAUAUGCAAUAAUUGAUUGUUAUUGUGGCUUUUUCUGUUAGAUGGCAGUUCCUCAGCAAUUAUUCCUUAGCAUUUGAAAAUAAUUUCAAUUUUCUUGUGAUUUAAUAUUUUGCAUUACUUGUUUUGUGAUACUUAUUCAUGUUUGUAUUUCUUGAUUUGUUCUCAAAAAAGAAAAUAACAAAUGUUCUAUCUUUUGAUCUUGUACCAC